AUUGCUUAUGUUAGACAUCAUGAGUGACAUCAACAGGAUAGGUGGAUGUGUGGUUAACAAUAGAAGCUUAAAGGGGUCCAAAUCAGUUUUUGCUUAGGGGCCACAAACAGCCUUAGACUGGCUUUGUUUAUUUAGUGUAAAAAUCUUUUCGUUGUUUUGUUCUUCAUUGAGAGAAAUUUUUGCUUUGUGAAGUGUCCGUAACCGCUGGGUUUCACACGGUUGUGUGUCACUAUCAUUAAUGCAGUCUUGCCUCUGCUUGAGCAUUUUUUACUUUAAACGCACGAUUAAGAAUAUUACUGGAAACUUCAGUUGUAUCAACAACCUUUAUAACCACAAAAAAGGCAUGACAGGCAGCUAUGAAUGAAAGAAAACAAGCAAAAAGCAUGUGCCAUGCAUAUAGUAGUGCAUAGACAUGUGUAUGAUGCAUGCCUCACACCUCAAAAGGUCAAAGUCCAAAAAGGGUUAUUGAGAAACACAUUGUUCUAGCAGCAGGAAAUGCACAAGGGACAAUGUAGCAGUAUCCAAUGUGUCUACUAAGGGUUUACCGUCAUAUUCAAUAAAACAGAAUAUGUGUUACGACGAGGAUCGAUUGUGAGAUAAAAAAACCCACCUUUAAGCAGAACCCACAGAUUGCAAGGAUAGAUGGCCAAGAGGAUGGAUGGAUAAAUCUGAAGAAGUCAGGGGCUUCUUCAGAUCUGCUGUAAGACAGACCACAACAGGAGAUCCUUCCUGCCCACAGCCAUCAGCAUCUACAACGGCUCUUUGAAGAAACCUUCAUAAUAUGAGCUAUAACAACAUUUAAUUUCCCUUUGGGAUUAAUAAAGUAUUUUUGAAUUGAAUUGAAUAAAUGCAGCGAGCAUAGACAAAGAAGGGUGGAACAAGGGAUAGAUGCUGGAUUGACAAACGAAAGGAUAAACAGAUGAAUGGAUGGAUGGAACUUGUAGACACCGGAUCACGCUCUCACUCCUCUAAAUUAUAUUCCAUGCUCUUCCAUACUUUCACGGACUGUGUAGAAAUUCUGAAUGAAAGGAAAAAACAAAGGAGAAGAAAGGUAAAUCCGAAUAAAUACACCUUUUUAUUUGAUUGA